UACGGAGGGGACUAGCGUUGUUCGGAAUUACUGGGCGUAAAGCGCACGUAGGCGGAUUUGUAAGUCGGGUGUGAAAGCCCCGGGCUCAACCUGGGAAUUGCAUUCGAGACUGCAUUGCUGGAGUACGGAAGAGGAGGGCGGAAUUCCCGGUGUAGCGGUGAAAUGCGUAGAUAUCGGGAGGAACAUCAGUGGCGAAGGCGGCCCUCUGGUCCAGUACUGACACUAAAGUGCGAAAGCGUGGGGAGCAAACAGG
rnacentral:rRNA from 1 species